GAAAGGGAUAUUGUAUGGAGCGGCCCUUUACGUAAAAAGACAAUUCAAGUUUUAGAAAAUAUAUGCUCCAGUUCUACUCUCGGAGCGCUAUAAGUUACAGGGUAUCUAGUUGUAUUGGAACCCUCGAUGGUCUAAACGAUUGAUAUGAACCGUAAAGCCCAACCAUCCUUGAUCUGGCUUUAUUUUCUGUGGCUGCCUUUUUCUAAGCCAUGGAUGAUUUUGUUACGACUGCCUAGCAAAAGUGAAUCAUAAGCAAUCCAUGGUGGGCUCUACGCGUGGAUAGAUCAAGCUGUUUAUUGGACAUACUUGUGUAGACAAUCUUAACCGUCCAUUCAUGAAUAGAGGUAACAGGAUUGAUGUAGCUGGCCCCAACUAAUUGGUAUAAGGCAUGGAUGAUGACGCUUAUGAUUACGGAAGGACCAUUGAAACGCUUGGAGCUGCCUCAGCUCUCCCUGCAAGUGUUUCUACUGUGAAUUCACAACUGAUCAAGACAACCAACCAGUUCCAGUAUAAACCUUCAUAGCCGGCUUGGUAUUUGGAUUCAACAGCUUGCAGCUUGAUCACCAAAAUCAUGGCACCAAGCCAACUCGGGUCAAGGCAACAAUGGUUGGACGCUUGAGAUUGAAAGUGAUCACAUUCGAAUCAUUGGAUGUAAGAGCCUUAAAACAUUUAAAUCUAUUUCUUGGAUCCUCAGAUCUCAGAAGCACUGACACACACACACACACACACACACAUGUUUAUAUACAGUACACACACUCACACACACAAGGAUCACCUAGUGCAAUAAUCAACCCCAUCUAAUCAGGUGUACUAUCCCAUAGAAAAUAAUGUCUCACCAUUGAUAAAUAGCAAAACACAAGUGUGACCUAUUUUAGCAUAAGGCAAUCCUCAUGGUGGGAUCAACCUAUUGGAACAGAAUGGAUAUUGCACACACAUGAAGGAUUGGAAGUUAUCUGCUGGGUCGACCAUAAAUUGUGGUCCAACUGGUUGUACUUGAGACAACCUACAUGCGCGCACACAGAUCCAAACAGCAUCAGAAAAUACAUCGCUCUGUUUUUCAUCUUUGCAGGGGCUUAUCCGGCAAUGCAAUAGAUGAAGCUUCAUCCAUUCUUUUCCGGUACAAACAGGAAUGGCUUGGUUGGUCCUUAUUGUUUAUAUUAAAGCUGCUUCAAGACGAAGAGUUGAAUGCAUAGGGAAGAACGAGGAAUGCCACUAUGUAUUAAUGGGUUCACUCAUCCAAUGUAGAGAAAGUUUUCUAUAUUUGAUUUAACACAGGAAAGGUUGAACCCUCUAUCUUGCUUCUUCAAGUAACUGUCUUCAUCAUCCUGUUACUUCAACUUGCUACAUUAGCGAAGGAGAAGGCUGUAGGAAGGCAUGUCUUCCAGACGUGUGAUUUCCUCAAGCAGCAGCUCUCUUUCCAGCUGACGGCGUGUGGAUUUCAUCACCGACUGUGGAAAUACGCAAAUUCAAAACUAAAUUGCUGGUUGGUAUUUGGUAAUGAAGAUGAGAUGAAAACGAAUAUCUCAAGAGGUGCUAAGAGGCAUACAUUGAAGUCCAUGUAUGAAGCAUGCAUGGCAAGCCAUUGCUGAUCCAUCAACUUGAAUGUUAUACAGUACAGAAGAUCAAAAGCCCGUUCAUUUUCUGUCACACAACCACAAGUUACACUCCAGAUACAGAAAAGAGUACCUACUAAAUGUCAUUGUGUAUAACCUAUUGAGAGAGAGAGAUUCAACCCCUCUAUAUUUUUUGUUCCAAAUUGCACCAUCCAGAAUGUGGGUCAUUUGCAAUCCAGAUUGCUAUUUAUAUUCUUUUUGUCGACAGUAUGCAUACAGGAUUUGUAAUAACAACAUUUGUUAUUUCAUAUAUAAAUAAUGAUAUCAAUUUGUAUAUAUAAA